UACGGAAGGUCCGGGCGUUAUCCGGAUUUAUUGGGUUUAAAGGGAGCGUAGGCUGUCUAUUAAGCGUGUUGUGAAAUAUACCGGCUCAACCGGUGGCUUGCAGCGCGAACUGGUCGACUUGAGUAUGCAGGAAGUAGGCGGAAUUCAUGGUGUAGCGGUGAAAUGCUUAGAUAUCAUGACGAACUCCGAUUGCGCAGGCAGCUUACUGUAGCAUAACUGACGCUGAUGCUCGAAAGUGCGGGUAUCAAAC
rnacentral:rRNA from 2 species